rnacentral:rRNA from 1 species
CAGUAGCCGCGGUAAAACGUAGGGUCCGAGCGUUGUCCGGAAUUACUGGGCGUAAAGAGCUCGUAGGUGGUUUGUCGCGUUGUUCGUGAAAACUCACAGCUCAACUGUGGGCGUGCGGGCGAUACGGGCAGACUAGAGUACUGCAGGGGAGACUGGAAUUCCUGGUGUAGCGGUGGAAUGCGCAGAUAUCAGGAGGAACACCGGUGGCGAAGGCGGGUCUCUGGGCAGUAACUGACGCUCAUGCACGAAAGCGUGGGGAGCAAACAGGAUUAGAUACCCCAGUAGUCCCUGUCUCUUAUAC